rnacentral:rRNA from 1 species
UACGUAGGUGGCAAGCGUUGUCCGGAUUUACUGGGCGUAAAGGGCUCGUAGGCGGCCAACUAAGUCAGACGUGAAAUCCCUCAGCUUAACUGGGGAACUGCGUCUGAUACUGUGCGGCUAGAGUGCGGAAGGGGCAACUGGAAUUCUUGGUGUAGCGGUGAAAUGCGUAGAUAUCAAGAGGAACACCUGCGGCGAAGGCGGGUUGCUGGGCCGACACUGACGCUGAUGCGCGAAAGCUAGGGAGCGAACGGG